AUGACAGGAGAUAAUGGGGAAAUUAUGCGAGUGGUGCAGCCAAAGGUGACGUCAGAGAUGAAUGACACGCUAUGUGUUGAAUAUACAGAAGAGGAGGUGAAAAGAGCCUUAGAUAGCAUCGGUGACUUAAAAGCUCCAGGACCUGAUGGUAUGCCAGCCAUUUUCUUUAAAAGGUUUUGGAAAACAGUGGGGAACCAGAUCACUAAAGAAGUUCUGCAUAUAUUGAGAGGAGGAGAUAUGCCUGAAGGAUGGAAUGAUACCCUAAUAGUGCUUAUUCCGAAGAACACCAAGCCAAUGAGCUUAAAGGAUCUAAGACCUAUAAGUUUGUGCAAUGUGGUAUAUAAGGUGGUCUCUAAGGCAAUCACAAAUAGACUCAAGGAAAUUCUCCCCCACAUUGUCUCCCCUAAUCAGAGUGCCUUUGUACCCGGAAGACUAAUUUCAGAUAAUAUUCUAUUGGCAUAUGAACUAACACAUUUCCUACAAAGGAAAAGAAGGGGUCCCGUGGGCUAUGCGGCCAUCAAACUGGACAUGAGCAAAGCUUACGACCGCGUUGAAUGGAAAUUUUUAGAAGAUAUGAUGAAAAGAUUGGGUUUUGAUAGGAAUUGGAUCAGACUGAUAAUGAAGUGUGUCUCAACUGUCAAGUACCAAAUCAAGGUGAACCAAGAUACAACUGAUAUGAUUACACCCCAAAGAGGACUGCGCCAAGGAGAUCCACUUUCCCCUUAUUUGUUCGUCAUCUGUGCUGAGGGGUUCUCCUCUAUGUUAUAUGAAGCUGAGAUGAGGAGAUCACUAAAAGGAAUCAAGGUAUGUAGGGGAGCCCCUAGUGUAAGCCAUCUAUUCUUUGCGGAUGAUUCAUUACUUCUAUUGGAGGCCAAUGCUGAAAGUGCUCAGGAAAUUAAUAGAAUUCUAAAUCUUUAUGAAGCUGCUUCAGGACAAGUGAUUAAUAAAGAUAAAUCCUCAAUACUAUUCAGUGCAAACACAAGGCAAGGGUUGAAGGAAAAAAUGAAAAGCAUUCUGCAAGUUACCUCUCAAGGUCUAUUCCCAAGAUAUCUUGGUGUUCCAUCCUAUGUGGGUAAGGCCAAAGCAAGAACCUUUGAGUAUGUAAAAGAGAGGGUGUGGAAAAGAUCCAAGGAUGGAAGGAAAAACUCCUAUCGAAAGGUGGAAAAGAAAUCCUCAUUAAAGCGGUAG
rnacentral:rRNA from 1 species